UACGUAGGGUGCAAGCGUUAAUCGGAAUUACUGGGCGUAAAGCGUGCGCAGGCGGUUGUGCAAGACAGAUGUGAAAUCCCCGGGCUCAACCUGGGAAUUGCGAUGGAGACUGCAAGGCUGGAGUCUGGCAGAGGGGGGGUAGAAUUCCACGUGUAGCAGUGAAAUGCGUAGAUAUCUGGAGGAACACCGGUGGCGAAGGCGGCAUCCUGGACCGGCAUUGACGCUGAGGCGCGAAAGCCAGGGGGAGCAAACGGGG
rnacentral:rRNA from 1 species